UGAGUUGGCUGGGCGGCCGCGGCAGAAGGAACCGAGUGUCUUUUCGAAGGCAUUAAGGCCUUCUGUCGAGGAAAGUCCGGACUCCACAGAGCAGGGCGGUUGCUAACGGCAACCCGAGGUGACUCGCGGGACAGUGCCACAGAAAACAGACCGCCUCCGACAGCUUUCGAGCUAUUGGAGGUGAGGGUGAAACGGUGCGGUAAGAGCGCACCAGCAUCCCAGGUGACUGGGAUGGCUAGGUAAACCCCGCCCGGAGCAAGGUUGAAGGCUGCAUUUCGGUGCAGCUGCGCAGGUGUUUGAGGGCUGCUCGCCCGAGCUUGCGGGUGAACCGCUUGAGGUACCCGGCGACGGUGUGCCCAGAUGGAUGGUCGCCACCUAACUCACGUUAGGUACAGGAUCCGGCUUACACGCCAACUCGUCCG
rnacentral:RNase_P_RNA from 1 species